GUUGAUAUUGUUCAAACGUAUUAAGAGUUUUAUUUGAAAAUUUCGUGUCUAUUGAAGCAAAUCUCAUCAUGAAGCUGGGAAGCAUUCUCCUAAUAGUGUGUGUUUUGUCUGCUCUCUUGAGCCACACUUACCAAUCUCCUACACAUAUUAGAGACCCGGAUGAAGUUGGCCCUGGCCCUUUUUGUCCUAAAAGUUUGGUUGUGCCUAGAAAGUGUAGUGAUUCUUCUCGAACAUGUUGGGACGACCUCAAUGAUGCAUAUGGAGCAAGUGGCAUGGUUCAUCAAUGUACUUGUAAAGAUCUUGCGCAUAAUAAACGACGUUGCACUUGUUUGGUCAUGUGUCAAUUGUGAAAAAUAGUCAUUUUGACGAUGACCAAAAGUGUAAUAACAUUAUAAAUUUAAUAAUGCUAUAAUGUGGCAAUAUGAGUUGUUAUAUUAA